GUAGGUGAACCUGCGGAAGGAUCAUUAAAGAGACGUUGCCCUUCGGGGUAUACCUCCCACCCUUUGUUUAUACAUACCAUUGUUGCUUUGGCAGGCCCGGCUUCGGCCCACCGGCUCCGGCUGGUCCGCGUCUGCCAGAGGAAACCCAAACUCUGUUUGUUAAUAUUGUCUGAGUACUAUAUAAUAGUUAAAACUUUCAACAACGGAUCUCUUGGUUCUG
rnacentral:misc_RNA from 1 species